rnacentral:rRNA from 1 species
UACGGAGGGUGCAAGCGUUAUCCGGAUUCACUGGGCUUAAAGGGUGCGUAGGCGGUUUGGUAAGUUGGAUGUGAAAUCUCCAGGCUCAACUUGGAGGGGUCAUUCGAUACUGCCAUGACUAGAGUUCGGUAGGGGAGUGUGGAAUUCCUGGUGGAGCGGUGAAAUGCGCAGAUAUCAGGAGGAACACCGGUGGUGUAGACGGCUUUCUGGACCGUAACUGACGCUGAGACACGAAAGCGUGGGUAGCAAACAGG